GCUUUAAUUAGCAAACAUGGUCGUUUGGGGCAACAUGUCUCAGUCAUUUUGGGGUUAGUUUUCACAUGUUUAAAAGAGAUUAAAAUUAACAUAGGGAGUCUGAUUAUCAGCAGUUGUCGUAUUGAAAUUUUGACUUUAUUUUUCCAGAGGAAAAAGAGUGGUUUAAAGGAGAGGAGAAAGAGAGAAGACAUGGUCAGGAAUUAGAAAAGAAAAACAGAACAUGUCAGUGCAGUUCCUGACGUUGCUGACGAUGCUGAGGACAGUCAGACAGGUGACCCUCGCUAAUAAAUCAAUCUGGAGGACAAUAAAGGACUUCAAUGUCAACUACCUUAGCUCUGUACUGUAAAACAUUCAACCCCAGUAGUGUUGUGUCGUUUGCGAAUGAUUCGUUUAAAAAAAAACGACUUAAGUGAACGUACUGCACCACUGAAUCACUUCCUGGAGUGAUUUGUUCGUGUCUCACUUCAGUUGAGAUGAGGUGAGAAACAGCAUUGCCAGGCCAGCAGCCGGCAAACGAGGGACCCCAAGCACUGACGCCUAAAUCACUUGGUGAAUGAAUCACACAUUGAACUACACUCUCUGGAAUCAUUUUUGUCGGACAGAACUACCUUUUUUUUUCACUGCUAAAUUGCCACCACAACAAAUUGCAUACAACAGGAUACAGCAGGUAACAAGUAGUGCAUUAAACCCGCAGCAUCCUAUCCUAUGUUCAGUGUGAAUUCUUCUAAAUGUUCAGUGAACGAAUCACUCACUGAGCCCAGUUUACCGAGCAGACCUGAUAAUUAGCAUACCGUAGGACAGUACACUGAAAACAUCAUGACUUAUAAACAAGUUCAUUUUUACAAACCUGUUUGUCAAAGCAACACAGACAAACACUCUAGUCUCCUGGUCCUAGAAGCUAUGAACUGAAUCCUGAACCGUUCAGCUGUGUAUCAGUUCAGGAGGUCGGUGACGUCCUUCGGUCAAAAUUCGAUUUGGAUCAAUUAUUUUAGUGCUCUUUUUAUCAGCUAAAAACAGCUUCGCUCAAAAUCCUCCGUUUUGGGCCAUGUCUCUUUAAUGAAAUGAGCUGCACCUAAGCCACGUCCACUUUACACCCAUCUCUCUGGAAGGGGCUUUGGCUGUGCUCCGAUAGCCAUGUGCUAAUGUUUACACUGGCUCGGUCAUGGCUGCAAGAAGAUCGCUCAUACAACCCUACCAGUUUGAGCCAGAGUCUGACCCAGAGGGAGAGGCUCCAGAAGAAACUCUCAGCCGUGUUCAGACCAAACGCGACUUGAAGCGACCUAGUCGACACAUCUUAUGUAUUAUUCAAAGUCGCCAGGAGGGUCACGCUUAAGGAGGAAGAUAUGAAUGUAGAAAAAAUUACAACCAGAGCUCUGCUACAAUGUAAGAUUUUUGUGCUUUCAAAGGCUCUGAAGCCUUUGCUAAUUAAUAGGAUGGCCGACUGUCCAGCAUUAGCCGGGACAUCCCGUAUUUGAGCCAAAUGAGGCGCGUCGCCGCACGGGUAAAUGCAAUAGCUACAUGCUGCUCCGGAGGGGGAUUUUGUCCCCCGCUGGCGGAGUUGUCGGGGAAGAAGCGAGCGGCUGUGUUUAUCAAAGCGUGGUGGCCGUGCUGAGUCACCGGGGGGAAUUUAGGCUCAACAGUAAGUCAAAAUAAAACGUUCAUACUUACAGAUGCCACGUUUGUAGUAGGAUCACGGAUAGUUGGUACGGAUCCAUUCUUUAUCUUCAGACAUCUAUCAAAUCCAGCGUUGAACUGUCCCUCGUUGAUAAAACAGUCCGACAUGAAAUGGUGCGCACAUACGUACAGAUAUUUUGGAAGUGCCGCGGGUACAUUCCCAUUUUAAAUAAAAUCCACCCAUUGAGUCCUCAAAUCCUCAGACGAGGGAGUUUUCAAAACAGUUUUGUGCUCGUUUGUGCAGCCAACAACAGAGCAAACGCUGCCUCUUUUUCAAGUCAUACUUUCGCCAUGGUUCUAACCGGGGCUAUGCAAGUGAGCAGCCGGGAAUAUUGGCGCUGUUUUGAUAAAUUUGUGGGCAGGGCAGUGGUAUUUGAGAAAUGAGAGCCACAAUAAUUUUGUUCUUGUUUUAUCAGCUGCUAAAUCCACUGUGACAUCUUACCCGACGGUGGGGCAACAUGUCACAUGAUCACACUCUCUAUUUGAUUGAUUAUAACUCUUCACUGACACAAGAUAUGAAAAUGACAUGAAUACGAAAUACUUACCUGAGACUUUGGUCUUUUGUCUGGUACACAUUUUGUUUAUAUAUAAUGUAUAGAUUACAAGAAAUAUAUGAGAAUGUAAAAAGUGUGACAACAAGCCCCGGUCUCCCCUACAUGCUGACAUCCACACAUAAGACCUCAUGAAGUCCUCCAUGCUGAACAGGUUUCUCUAUCAGAUUUCAGAGCUUCAGUCUUCUGUGAGCUUCAUAAAUAAGGAUAUAAACAGAUUUGAAAACAGACUUUAGUCAGUGAGUCCAACUACAGCUGGCACCAGAACCAUCAGAACCCUUCCAAGAUUGUCAUGGCAGACUAAAACUGCAGUCCAGCAGAUCCUCGGGGGGAAAAACACCUUUCAUAGAGACUGAGUCAUGUCUGAAUAUUCUGUAAUGUUGAGCAGGAGGCUACAGAAAGGAAAUGAUGACGUGUCUGGACUUUGCAAACCACAUUAUUUCCACCAACCAGAGGAGAAUAAUCAGGCGCUCUGGGACUUCAGUCUGCAUGGUUGGCUCCUGCAGCCAUGUGUGGUCCAUGUGAGGCACAGUCAGAGCCCAGACCCACAACAAAACCCUGACUGUGAGGUUCUGGAUCCUGUGGACAUAAUCACCAAAAUUAAAGAAUCUGUUUUAAUGAUGAAUUCAGAUCAUGAUAAUAAUCCUGCAGGAUUUAUGAUCACCAAAGGUUAAAAUGCUUUUAAAGGUCGUCAAUGACAGAAUGAAAGGCUGACGGCUGGUUUUCUCAAACCCACAUGGAGCUGGAAGAACCGGGUCUUGUUGUUGGACUGAGCCAAAUGAUCUGGACCAGGAACAAGAGCUGAAACCCCCCUCAGUGAUCCACACUACCUUCACUCUGAGGAUAUUCACAGCCAAACAGGGGGAUGGCGAUCUGUGGCAGACUGCCAUUAUGAGAUUCACAGCAGUGUUUCCUCUUCCUCACGGUCCCUGAGAUCAUCAUCAUCAUCAUCAUCAUCUAAACUUCUCAAUCAACCAUCCUGAACAUUUCAGCGAAUCAUCUGAGCCACCGAAGUUUGAUGUUUUAGCUAACAUUUGACAUGCAGGCUGAUCAUGGGACUGUGAUUAUGUGACUGUAGGAUGGUGCUGUAUCUGCUGCAUCUACUGUUCUGUUCAAGCACAGUCAGAAAAAAACGCUCCUGAAGUUUCUGCUCCUCUGCCUGCUGGUGACCAUGAUGUAGGAAGCAUGGACACAGUCUAAGUGGCCUCAAGCCGAAAACAUACAGGAUCCGUAUUGAGUGCGUUCCGUAGUGCAGUGUUGGGUAUCUCAUACAGGAUCAGCAUAUUUGGAAUGUAGCAGCAGCGUAGUGGCUUCACUUACUGAUUUUGACAUUGUUUUAAAGGCUAUCACUGUACAACAAAUGCUGACUCAACUUCACUUUUGUUCAACCGUCCAAGAGGCAAAGAGGCGGAGUCUAGCCUCCUCGCUAACAGCUACAGUAAACUAGCCUACUCAGACCUGCUCCUCACUGUGUAAAACUUGUAAUCCCUCCAAAAAUCGAUCGUUUUAGCCGCCUCCUCAGCCUAAACUCCUGGCUUCGGGCCCUCUGCAGCACCCUCUCCACCCACUUCAUUGACAAUUUUAACCUGUUCUGGAACCGACCCCCAUUUUUCUCUAAUGACGGACUUCACCCAAACAAACUGGGCCAUCAGACACUUGCCGCUAAUAUCCAACACCGCAUACACACCAACUGACUAACAUUGUUUACACACUCCCUGUCAUCUUCUUCCACUACCCCACCUGGAAACAGCGCCCCCCAGAGGCCCCCCUCCGGAACCCUCACCCUCACCCUCACCACCCCCACCACCGGCUCCCCCAACAGGCCCCAACUGGUACUGCACACCAACCCCAUCGCCCCCACUACAUCAAUCUCCCCCUCCUAGUCCAAACAGCUCCUACACCCUCCAACCACAGACUCUCCUUGCAAACAAUUGCAAACAGUUCAAACAAUUAUUACAACUACUGGACCCUCCCGCUCAAAUCCCAUGCAUCUAAAAAGAAGGACAAGAAAUCAAAGAAACCUCAGCUGCCUUCCCCCUGCCUCACUGCCCACCCCCACUCCCUCAAUAACAAAGGACUCAUCCUAGCUGACUUCAUAACAGACAAUAAACUGGACUUCCUCUAUCUAACUGAAACCUGGCACAACCAUCUUGACCUCUUUCCACUCAACCAAGCCCCCCCCCCCCCCCCCCGCUUACUCCUACCUGCACCAACCCCGCCUCACUGGACGAGGCGGUGGCGUCGCAGUCAUCCACAAACAAACCCUCAAGACCACCCCCGUCCCCACCCUGUCCGUCCACUCAUUUGAAAAUAUUUCCGUCAAACUCCCCGGCCCCACCCCUCUGGUCAUUGUCACUAUCUACCGCCCUCCAAAGCCCCA